AUGUCGGGAGCGUUGUUGAAUUCACAUAUCCCCAAUUCCAUGUCCCGCUGCUGCUGCUACCUUCGUCUUCCUCGCACCACUGCACCUCGUUGCGCCGCUUGCUUCCGCCUCCCUCCAUAUCCCUUUCUCCUAGCCAUGGUUCCCAAAACAAGGGCGACCAAGGAUGCGAAAAAGACAGGGAAGGCGCUGGAGAAGUCGAAGAAGGCGAUGCCGGCGCAGAUGCGGAGGGAAAACACUUUUUUCCCGCUGGCGUUGAAAGUCUCCGACCUCAUGGCCCGAUACUCAUUCCAAUGGUCAGUGAAGACCAAGGACCAUGAAGCCGUCGAAGUGUUGCCCACAAGUGUACCUGGCGGCGCAGAUAAGUUCGCAUUCUUCACCGGAUAUUUUUAUUGUGGAUUGCUCCCUCCUUUCUCGGCUUUCUUUGAUGAGGUGAUGAGGACCCAGAAUUUUCUAGGUGAGCCGUCUCUGGUAGAUUGA
rnacentral:rRNA from 1 species